GCCCGUCAAGCAUAGAUGGCGAUGCAGCCGACUUGUAAGCGGCAGAACUAGGUUCAAGUCCUAGGAUUGGCACCA
rnacentral:tRNA from 1 species